GAAAGGUGAGGGGCAAAAUGGUAAUUUCACAUGGGAGCCUUAGUCAUAAAAUCCUAGAAUUCUCUACACAAUUUGAGAAAGAAGAAGAGCAAAGGAAAGAAGAGAAAUCAAGAGAGAAAAUCGGACAAGAAGACCAAAAAUUUACCCCUUCAAAUUUCAUCCCAAAAAUUAUAAUUUUCUAGUAUUCCUACUAAGUCAAGGGUGCUCUACAACAUGGUGUAGUUUUUUUUGGAAGAUAGGAGGCUUGUUUGGUUGAUUUGAAGCUUUGGUAAAGUGAAGAAGUUGGAAGAAAAAGAUUUUGGAGGAAACGGGAAUUGAAUUUGGACAACAGUAAAACGUCAAAAAGGUACCGAAGUUCGAUUUGCUGAUCCACCUGUUUAGGAUAUUUGCUGCGUCGUUGACAGUGCUCCCUUGUUCGGAGCUUGUAUUUUGGUACUGACUUUAUCUCUGUAUAUUUGGAUAUGUUGGUCAGGGGUACGACGGGGCCUUGUCCCGUCAUAUGACUAUGCUAUCAUCUGUAGAGGUCUGUAGACAGAGUUAUGUUGUGGGUUUUGUAUAUAUGGUUUGGAUUUUUGUGUGUUUUGUGAUAAUCUUUCAACUCUCGUGCGUA